rnacentral:rRNA from 1 species
GACGAACGCUGGCGGCGUGCUUAACACAUGCAAGUCGAACGGAAAGGCCCUGCUUGUGUGGGGUGCUCGAGGGGCGAACGGGUAAGUAACACGUGAGUAACCUGACCUUGAUUUUGGGGUGACUUCAGGAAACUGGGGCUAAUAUCGGAUAGGAGCUCCUGUUGCGUGGUGGGGGUGGGAAAGUUGGGGCGGUUGGGGAUGGACUCGCGGCUGAUCAGCUUGUUGGUGGGGUAGUGGCUUACCAAGGCUUUGACGGGUAGCCGGCCUGAGAGGGUGACCGGCCACAUUGGGACUGAGAUACGGCCCAGACUCCUACGGGAGGCAGCAGUGGGGAAUAUUGCACAAUGGGCGGAAGCCUGAUGCAGCAACGCCGCGUGCGGGAUGACGGCCUUCGGGUUGUAAACCGCUUUCGCCUGUGACGAAGCGUGAGUGACGGUAAUGGGUAAAGAAGCACCGGCUAACUACGUG